CCAAUAGCGUAUAUUAAAGUUGCUGCAGUUAAAAAGCUCGUAGUUGAAUUUCGGGACCGAUAUGUCGGUCGUGCCUCGGUACGUACUGGUAUUUUUGGUUUCUCCCUUCUGACGAACCUUGAUGUCAUUAAUUUGGUGUCUUGGGGAAUCAGGACUGUUACUUUGAAAAAAUUAGAGUGUUUAAAGCAGGCUCACGCUUGAAUACAUUAGCAUGGAAUAAUGAAAUAGGACGUUUGAUUCUAUUUUGUUGGUUUCUAGGAUCGACGUAAUGAUUAAUAGGGAUAGUUGGGGGCAUUAGUAUUCAAUUGUCAGAGGUGAAAUUCUUGGAUUUAUUGAAGACUAACUACUGCGAAAGCAUUUGCCAAGGAUGUUUUAAUUAAUCAAGAACGAAAGUUAGGGGAUCGAAGACGAUCAGAUACGGUCGUAGUCUUAACCAUAAACUAUGCCGACUAGGGAUCGGAUGAUGUUAAUUUUUUAAUGACUCAUUCGGCGCCUUACG
rnacentral:rRNA from 1 species